CCCUUAGAUGUCCGGGGCUGCACGCGCGCUACACUGACUGGCUCAGCGUGUGCCUACCCUACGCCGGCAGGCGCGGGUAACCCGUUGAACCCCAUUCGUGAUGGGGAUCGGGGAUUGCAAUUAUUCCCCAUGAACGAGGAAUUCCCAGUAAGUGCGGGUCAUAAGCUUGCGUUGAUUAAGUCCCUGCCCUUUGUACGCACCGCCCGUCGCUACUACCGAUUGGAUGGUUUAGUGAGGCCCUCGGAUCGGCCCCGCCGGGGUCGGCCCACGGCCCUGGCGGAGCGCUGAGAAGACGGUCGAACUUGACUAUCUAGAGGAAGUAAAAGUCGUAACA
rnacentral:rRNA from 1 species